rnacentral:rRNA from 1 species
UACGUAGGGUGCAAGCGUUAAUCGGAAUUACUGGGCGUAAAGCGUGCGCAGGCGGUAAUGUAAGACAGUUGUGAAAUCCCCGGGCUCAACCUGGGAACUGCAUCUGUGACUGCAUUGCUGGAGUACGGCAGAGGGGGAUGGAAUUCCGCGUGUAGCAGUGAAAUGCGUAGAUAUGCGGAGGAACACCGAUGGCGAAGGCAAGGCCCUGGGCCUGUACUGACGCUCAUGCACGAAAGCGUGGGGAGCAAACAGG